rnacentral:rRNA from 1 species
AUUGAACGCUGGCGGCAUGCCUUACACAUGCAAGUCGAACGGUAACGGGCCUUAGGGUGCCGACGAGUGGCGAACGGGUGAGUAAUACAUCGGAACGUGCCCGAUCGUGGGGGAUAACGAGGCGAAAGCUUUGCUAAUACCGCAUACGAUCUACGGAUGACAGCAGGGGACCGCAAGGCCUUGCGCGGACGGAGCGGCCGAUGGCAGAUUAGGUAGUUGGUGGGAUAAAAGCUUACCAAGCCGACGAUCUGUAGCUGGUCUGAGAGGAUGAUCAGCCACACUGGGACUGAGACACGGCCCAGACUCCUACGGGAGGCAGCAGUGGGGAAUUUUGGACAAUGGGCGCAAGCCUGAUCCAGCCAUGCCGCGUGCAGGAUGAAGGCCUUCGGGUUGUAAACUGCUUUUGUACGGAACGAAAAGCCUUCUUUUAAUACAGGAGGGUCAUGACGGUACCGUAAGAAUAAGCACCGGCUAACUACGUG